AUGAAGACCAAAGGAAGGCCCAAGAUGAUGAAAGCAGAAGAAAGGAAGCACGUGCCUUCUCCAGAGUCACAAAGCAAUGAUAUGGCUGAUGAUCAAGUGAAUUCCGAAACCUUAAAAGGUAGGUGCCAUCAUGAUCUCAUUUUAAGAAGAAGAAACUGAGGCAGAAAAAGUUUAAGUGAUUUGCCCAGUCAUACAGCCAAUCAAACAAGUUCAUAUUUCUGUAGGAGGCCUUUCCUUACCCUACCUUAACCCUACCGGGGUACUAUCUGUUUCUUUCUGAGGUUAGUAGAAAUAUAUGUGUUUUGUACAUUUAUAUUCUAUACUUGGUCAUUUGAAUCUUGGCUCCCCUAUUAGAAUAUGAACUCCCUGAGGACAGAGACUAUAUUUUGUCUUCUUAUUAAUCCUGACUGACCAAGACAGUAAUAAGUGAGUGUUGACUAAUAAGCACCAUUCCUACACUUCUGGAUAUAUGUAAUUUAGAACAUUCUUAUCUUUAGUUAGGUUGGAACAUUUCUAAUCUGUGUAACAAAGUUAGAUCAUUCCUCACCUGUCUUUUGGUCAAUAGGCAUGUAAUAACAUUUACUAUGGGCCAGACAUGUCAUAAUCCCUAGGGAUACAAAGAAUGACAAAAAAAUUAUCCCUGCUCUCAAAGAGCUUAUAUUCUAUUGGGGAGCUAAAUGCAAAUAACUAGGAAUAUAUAUGUAUAUCUAUGAAAAUAACUAGGGAUCUAUAUAUAUAUAUGCAUUUGUAUAUGGGAAUAUAUAUACAAAAUGCAUAUAUAUUUGUAAAUGGGAAUAUAUAUAUAUAUAUACAAAAAGCAUAUAUAUCACCUCUACAUGUAGAUAUACUCAUAUGCAGCAGCUAGGUACUGUAGUGGAUAAAAUGUUGGGCCUAUAAUCAAGUAAAUCUGAAUUCAGACACUUGCUGUAGCUGUGUGACCAUAGAUAAGACACAUAACUCUUUUUGUCUCAGUUUCCUUUUCUGUAAAAUGAACUGGAGAAGGAAAUGGCAAGUCAUUCUAGUAUCUUUCCCAAGAAAGGCUCAAAUGGGAUCACAAGAAUCAUAAAUGCCUGAAAUGAUUGAACAAUAACAAAUAUUGUAUACACACAGACAUGUAUACAUAGACAUAUUUAUGUAUGAUGUAAAUGGAAAGGUGUCAAAAUUUAGAGAGGAGCAGAGCAAUGACAUCAAGCUCAAGC
rnacentral:lncRNA from 1 species